GACGUGGGGGGCCAGCGUUGCUCGGAAUUACUGGGGGUAAAGGGUUCGUAGGCGGUGUAGCAAGUCGGGAGUGAAAUCUCUGGGCUCAAACCAGAGACUGCUUCCGAAACUGCUGUGCUUGAGUGUGGGAGAGGCGCGUGGAAUUGCAGGUGUAGCGGUGAAAUGCGUAGAUAUCUGCAGGAACACCCGUGGCGAAAGCGGCGCGCUGGACCACUACUGACGCUGAGGUGCGAAAGCGUGGGGAGCAAACAGG
rnacentral:rRNA from 1 species